rnacentral:tRNA from 1 species
GCGGAAGUGGCGGAAUGGCAGACGCGCUAGCUUCAGGAGCUAGUGGCCGCAAGGCCAUGGAGGUUCAAGUCCUCUCUUCCGCACCA